rnacentral:piRNA from 1 species
AUAAAUGUGGGACUUCUCAGAAGU